UACUAAGGCUCAUGGAGACACUACGGUAAAUUGGCCUAAAUACUACACCUAGCACUUGUAACGGCCCACGCUGGUGCGAGCAGCCUCCUGGCUGCUCAGACAGGGCGGCCUGUUCACAGAACGUGGGUUUCCUGCUUGAGGCACCAUCCUCCUCAGGAGCCCCCAUUGGUAGGCGUGUCCCGUGCAUUGCUCAGAGAAGUCCUGCCCCAGGUACAGCACCCAUCGCUGUGAGACACACUCCUUCAGGAAGCCCUCAAGCCAGCGGGUGGCUGCCAAUUGCUGAUGUGCACCCUGCGGCCUUUGGAAGUGACCCGGUGCUAUGGUGUUGUGACACACGGUGAGAGGAUAUAGCUCCGCCUGUGUGGACAUCAGAUCUGGACACAGUACCCAGUAAUGGUCUCACUAAAGCCAUAGAGAGGGGCAGAAUCACACCAUUUUUAACCCUGAUUACAAUCCCUCCCAG